rnacentral:rRNA from 1 species
GACGAACGCUGGCGGCGUGCUUAACACAUGCAAGUCGAGCGGACAGGCCCUUCGGGGUACUCGAGCGGCGAACGGGUGAGUAACACGUGAGCAAGCUGCCCUACGCUUUUGGAUAACCCCGGUGAACCGCGGCUAAUACCGGACAUGACCGCUGGCCGCAUGGCUGGUGGUGGAACGGUUGUCGGCCUGGGAUGGGCUCGCGGCGUAUCAGCUUGUUGGUGGGGUGAUGGCCUACCAAGGCGACGACGGGUAGCCGGCCUGAGAGGGCGACCGGCCACACUGGGACUGAGACACGGCCCAGACUCCUACGGGAGGCAGCAGUGGGGAAUAUUGCACAAUGGGCGAAAGACUGAUGCAGCGACGCCGCGUGAGGGAUGACGGCCUUCGGGUUGUAAACCUCUUUCAGCAGGGACGAAGCGGAAGUGACGGUACCUGCAGAAGAAGCGCCGGCCAACUACGUGCCAGCCGCCGCCGUAACAC